rnacentral:rRNA from 1 species
CCUACGGGUGGCAGCAGUGGGGAAUAUUGCACAAUGGGGGAAACCCUGAUGCAGCGACGCCGCGUGAGUGAAGGUGCAAUUCGUUAUGUAAAGCUCUAUCAUCAGGGAAGAAUAUUACGGUACUUGAGCAAGAAGCCCCGGCUAACUACGUGCCAGCAGCCGCGGUAGUACGUAGGGGGCAAGCGUUAUCCGGAUUUACUGGGUGUAAGGGGAGCGUAGACGGCUGUGCAAGUCUGGAGGGAAAGGCGGGGGCUCAACCCCCGGACUGCUCUGGAUACUGUACGGCUGGAGUGCAGGAGAGGUAAGUGGAAUUCCUAGUGUAGCGGUGAAAUGCGUAGAUAUUAGGAGGAACACCAGUGGCGAAGGCGGCUUACUGGACUGUAACUGACGUUGAGGCUCGAAAGCGUGGGGAGCAAACAGGAUUAGAUACCCCUGUAGUC